rnacentral:piRNA from 1 species
AACGUUGAACUGCCUGUAGAAGC